rnacentral:rRNA from 1 species
GAUGAACGCUGGCGGCGUGCCUAAUACAUGCAAGUCGAGCGAACAGACGAGGAGCUUGCUCCUCUGACGUUAGCGGCGGACGGGUGAGUAACACGUGGAUAACCUACCUAUAAGACUGGGAUAAAUUCGGGAAACCGGAGCUACUACCGGAUAAUAUAUUGAACCGCAUGGUUCAAUAGUGAAAGACGGUUUUGCUGUCACUUAUAGAUGGAUCCGCGCCGCAUUAGCUAGUUGGUAAGGUAACGGCUUACCAAGGCAACGAUGCGUAGCCGACCUGAGAGGGUGAUCGGCCACACUGGAACUGAGACACGGUCCAGACUCCUACGGGAGGCAGCAGUAGGGAAUCUUCCGCAAUGGGCGAAAGCCUGACGGAGCAACGCCGCGUGAGUGAUGAAGGUCUUCGGAUCGUAAAACUCUGUUGUUAGGAAAGAACAAAUGUGUAAGUAACUAUGCACGUCUUGACGGUACCUAAUCAGAAAGCCACGGCUAACUACGUG